GACGAACGCUGGCGGCGUGCUUAACACAUGCAAGUCGAACGGAAAGGCCCUGCUUUUGUGGGGUGCUCGAGUGGCGAACGGGUGAGUAACACGUGAGUAACCUGCCCUUGACUUUGGGAUAACUUCAGGAAACUGGGGCUAAUACCGGAUAGGAGCUCCUGCUGCAUGGUGGGGGUUGGAAAGUUUCGGCGGUUGGGGAUGGACUCGCGGCUUAUCAGCUUGGUGGUGGGGUAGUGGCUCACCAAGGCGAUGACGGGUAGCUGGCCUGAGAGGGUGAUCGGCCACACUGGAACUGAGACACGGGCCAGACUACUACGGGAGGCAGCAGUGGGGAAUAUUGGACAAUGGGCGGAAGGCGGAGCCAGCCAUACCGCGUGGGUGAAGAAGGCCUGCGGGGUGGAAAGCACGGGGGUUGGGAAAGAAAAGCAGCAGGUGAAUACCCCGCGGUUCUGACGGGACCCAAAGAAGAAGCACCGGCUAACUUCGUG
rnacentral:rRNA from 1 species